rnacentral:rRNA from 1 species
AAAUUGAAGAGUUUGAUCAUGGCUCAGAUUGAACGCUGGCGGCAGGCCUAACACAUGCAAGUCGAACGGUAACAGGAAGCAGCUUGCUGCUUCGCUGACGAGUGGCGGACGGGUGAGUAAUGUCUGGGAAACUGCCUGAUGGAGGGGGAUAACUACUGGAAACGGUAGCUAAUACCGCAUAAUGUCGCAAGACCAAAGAGGGGGACCUUCGGGCCUCUUGCCAUCGGAUGUGCCCAGAUGGGAUUAGCUUGUUGGUGGGGUAACGGCUCACCAAGGCGACGAUCCCUAGCUGGUCUGAGAGGAUGACCAGCCACACUGGAACUGAGACACGGUCCAGACUCCUACGGGAGGCAGCAGUGGGGAAUAUUGCACAAUGGGCGCAAGCCUGAUGCAGCCAUGCCGCGUGUAUGAAGAAGGCCUUCGGGUUGUAAAGUACUUUCAGCGGGGAGGAAGGGAGUAAAGUUAAUACCUUUGCUCAUUGACGUUAC